UACGGAGGGUGCAAACGUUGUCCGGAAUCAUUGGGCGUAAAGCGCACGUAGGUGGCUUGUUAAGUCGGGGGUGAAAUCCCUGGGCUCAACCCAGGAAGUGCACUCGAAACUGGCGAGCUUGAGUACUGAAGAGGGUCGCGGAAUUCCCGGUGUAGAGGUGAAAUUCGUAGAUAUCGGGAGGAACACCAGUGGCGAAGGCGGCGACCUGGGCAGAUACUGACACUGAGGUGCGAAAGCGUGGGGAGCAAACAGG
rnacentral:rRNA from 1 species